CAGCAGCCACGGGAAAACGGAGGGUGCAAGCGUUACUCGGAAUCACUGGGCGUAAAGGACGCGUAGGCGGAUUAUCAAGUCUCUUGUGAAAUCUAACGGCUUAACCGUUAAACUGCUUGAGAAAUUGAUAAUCUAGAGUAAGGGAGAGGCAGAUGGAAUCCUUGGUGUAGGGGUAAAAUCCGUAGAUAUCAAGAAGAAUACCUAUUGCGAAGGCGAUCUGCUGGAACUUAACUGACGCUAAUGCGUGAAAGCGUGGGGAGCAAACAGGAUUAGAUACCCGGGUAGUCCCUGUCUCUUAUAC
rnacentral:rRNA from 1 species